CACCCUCGCCCUCGCCGUCGCGCAAUCGUGCGUUACAGCCCUAAUCCCGGCGUCUGUCGAUCAACCUAUUCUUCCCCACCACACCCGGAUCGCCACAGGACCUGCCUCGGUGCCGCGCGCCAUCCUCGCCACUCGGUGCCGCGUGACUCCCGUGCUCAACCUGCCCACAGGCAGUGCCGACGCGACACUCGAGGCUGUGCCGCCGUUCCCGACGACCCUUCGUGGCGGCCAUCGUCCCGCCGCGGAUCCCCCACGCGUGGCGCGCCCGACUCUAGACGCCCCGCCGCGACUAGCACCGUCCCCGCCGAAGCCAACCCGCCCGCUCGCAAUUGCGACGCGCCGCUGUCCCCGAGACCCCGCCGUGGACCCCAUGAGCGGCGUGCGCGACUUCAGACGCGCCGCCGCGAUUCCAGCCGUCACCGCCGGGUAGGCAACUAAAUUAUUUAGUAUGUUCAGGCACAUGUUUCGUCAACGUCGCCGCCGCCGCCAGUGUCGGCUGCUUCUGUCCUGGGCGCUUCGAGCGCACCAGGCCGCCAAGGGGAACCGGAGAUUCAGCUCUGGGCUCGGCUCAUGGCGUCUAUGACGCAUGUCGAGCAUGGAGAGAUUUGGGGAUUUGAGGAGAGAGGCACAUUGGAGGCUUCUCCGGACUCGGCGUGGAAAAGGAGAUCAUCGAGGCCGUCACAUUGGAGAGCUUCGCCUGGGCGCAAUGGUGAGGAGCAGAGCAGCGGCGGCACUGUCUUGGCAUUGGACGCCCCCGCUGGAGUCACAGGUAGACCAUCCACUGCCUCCUCUAGGAGGAGCUUGACACCAUCCCCAAGGUCAAGGAAGAGCUGUUCAAUUUUCAGCGAAAUUGAAUGUUAUCUAAAAGUUCGCGUGCAUGUUCUCGAAGACCGGUAGAAAUGCUCCUCUGGUUGCGUUAAUUGUAAACAUGAUGUGAUUGAUUAUUGGUGGGCAAUCAAGAGCACGGACAUAGGCUAAGGACGAGCAGAUCUGCAAGCUAAGGAAGCUGCCUGCAGCUAUGUUGCAUCUAGCCCAGGUUGUGUAGUUUGGAUGAUCAGUAUACUUCGAUAUGCCAAAGCG